UGAACGCUAGCUACAGGCUUAACACAUGCAAGUCGAGGGGUAGCAGGGUAGCAAUACCGCUGACGACCGGCGCACGGGUGAGUAACACGUAUCCAACCUUCCCAUAACUCAGGGAUAGCCUUUCGAAAGAAAGAUUAAUACCUGAUAGUACUUUUUCAAGGCAUCUUGAGAAAGUUAAAGAUUUAUUGGUUAUGGAUGGGGAUGCGUUCCAUUAGAUAGUUGGUGAGGUAACGGCUCACCAAGUCUUCGAUGGAUAGGGGUUCUGAGAGGAAGGUCCCCCACAUUGGUACUGAGACACGGACCAAACUCCUACGGGAGGCAGCAGUGAGGAAUAUUGGUCAAUGGGCGAGAGCCUGAACCAGCCAAGUAGCGUGAAGGAAUGAAGGUCCUAUGGAUUGUAAACUUCUUUUAUAGUAGAAUAAAGUGAUCCACGUGUGGAUUUUUGUAUGUAUACUAUGAAUAAGGAUCGGCUAACUCCGUGCCAGCCGCCGC
rnacentral:rRNA from 1 species